rnacentral:rRNA from 1 species
AACGAACGCUGGCGGCAUGCCUAACACAUGCAAGUCGAACGAGACCAUCGGGUCUAGUGGCGCACGGGUGCGUAACGCGUGGGAAUCUGCCCUUGGGUUCGGAAUAACAGUUGGAAACGACUGCUAAUACCGGAUGAUGACGUAAGUCCAAAGAUUUAUCGCCCAAGGAUGAGCCCGCGUAGGAUUAGCUAGUUGGUGAGGUAAAGGCUCACCAAGGCGACGAUCCUUAGCUGGUCUGAGAGGAUGAUCAGCCACACUGGGACUGAGACACGGCCCAGACUCCUACGGGAGGCAGCAGUGGGGAAUAUUGGACAAUGGGCGAAAGCCUGAUCCAGCAAUGCCGCGUGAGUGAUGAAGGCCUUAGGGUUGUAAAGCUCUUUUACCCGGGAUGAUAAUGACAGUACCGGGAGAAUAAGCUCCGGCUAACUCCGUG